rnacentral:pre_miRNA from 1 species
CUCAGAUCAGAAGGUGAUUGUGGCUUUGGGUGGAUAGUAAUCAGCCACAGCACUGCCUGGUCAGAAAGAG